UACGAAGGGUGCGAGCGUUGUCCGGAAUCACUGGGCGUAAAGGGCGCGUAGGCGGCGCGACAAGUCAGUGGUGAAAGCCCGAGGCUCAACUUCGGGUCGGCCACUGAUACUGUCGGGCUCGAGCACUGUAGAGGCAGGUGGAAUUCCGGGUGUAGCGGUGGAAUGCGUAGAGAUCCGGAAGAACACCGGUGGCGAAGGCGGCGACCUGGGUCGACACUGACGCUGAGGAGCGAAAGCCAGGGGAGCAAACGGG
rnacentral:rRNA from 1 species